rnacentral:rRNA from 1 species
ACUUUGAGCGGUGGAUCACUCGGCUCGU